UGUCUGAGCCCUUUUUGGGGCGUUUCCUCCCUAGACUUGGACCGCCGAGCGCAAGCGACGCGGUCCUUUUUCUAGCUUCCC
rnacentral:sRNA from 2 species